AUUGAACGCUGGCGGCAGGCCUAACACAUGCAAGUCGAACGAGUGGCGGACGGGUGAGUAAUGUCUGGGAAACUGCCUGAUGGAGGGGGUUAACUCCUGGAACCGGUAGCUAAUACCGCCUACCAUACGCUGUGCCAUGGUGGGAUGCGCUUGUGGGUGGGGUAACGGAUCACCAAGGCGACGAUCCCUAGCUGGUCUGAGAGGAUGAACGGCCACACUGGAACUGAGACACGGUCCAGACUCCUACGGGAGGCAGCAGUGGGGAAUAUUGCACAAUGGGCGAAAGCCUGAUGCAGCCAUGCCGCGUGUGUGAAGAAGGCCUUCGGAUUGUAAAGUACUUUCAGCUGGGAGGCGUUACCCACAGAAGAAGCACCGGCUAACUCCGUGCCAGCAGCCGCGGUAAUUC
rnacentral:rRNA from 1 species